rnacentral:rRNA from 1 species
CCGCCCCUACGGAGGCAGCAGUGGGGAAUAUUGCACAAUGGGGGAAACCCUGAUGCAGCGACGCCGCGUGGGCGAGGAAGUACCUCGGUAUGUAAAGCCCUAUCAGCAGGGAAGAAACAGGACAGUACCUGACUAAGAAGCCCCGGCUAACUACGUGCCAGCAGCCGCGGUAAUACGUAGGGGGCAAGCGUUAUCCGGAUUCACUGGGCGUAAAGGGAGCGCAGGCGGCAUGGCAAGUCUGAUGUGAAAACCCGGGGCCCAACCCCGGGAGUGCAUUGGAAACUGCCAGGC